rnacentral:rRNA from 1 species
AUUGAACGCUGGCGGCAGGCCUAACACAUGCAAGUCGAACGAGUGGCGGACGGGUGAGUAAUGUCUGGGAAACUGCCUGAUGGAGGGGGAUAACUACUGGAAACGGUAGCUAAUACCGCAUACCAUCGGAUGUGCCAUGAGGGGAUUAGCUAGUAGGUGGGGUAACGGCUCACCAAGGCGACGAUCCCUAGCUGGUCUGAGAGGAGGACCAGCCACACUGGAACUGAGACACGGUCCAGACUCCUACGGGAGGUAGCAGUGGGGAAUAUUGCGCAAUGGGCGCAAGCCUGAUGCAGCCAUGCCGCGUGUAUGAAGAAGGUCUUCGGGUUGUAAAGUUCUGUCAGCGGGGAGGCGUUACCCGAAGAAGAAGCACCGGCUAACUCCGUGCCAGCAGCCGCGGUAAUUC